rnacentral:rRNA from 1 species
UCGAAACCUGCCCAGCAGAACGACCCGCGAAUGUGUUUUCUAACGACGGGUGUGCGGCACAGUUUGGCCCCUCGAGUGCCGCUGUGCUGUUCGCCCGAGCAGGGGAGCGCUCACUAGCUGCGCGCUUCCUUGCUAAAAAAACGAACCCCGGCGCGAAAAGCGUCAAGGAACAUGAACUCAACGUGAGCGCCAUGUCGCCGUCCGGUUAGCCGGGCGGGGGCGAGGACUCGUGGCUUAAUAACAAUAAACGACUCUCGGCAACGGAUAUCUCGGCUCUCGCAUCGAUGAAGAACGUAGCGAAAUGCGAUACUUGGUGUGAAUUGCAGAAUCCCGUGAACCAUCGAGUCUUUGAACGCAAGUUGCGCCCGAAGCCUCUGGCUAAGGGCACGUCUGCCUGGGCGUCACGCAUCGCGUCCCCCCACACCGCCUAGUGCGGAGGGGAAGGAAGAUGGCUUCCCGUGCCUCACCGGGCGCGGUUGGCCUAAAUUUGGAGCUCGCGGAAAUNAGAUCACGCGGCGAUAGGUGGUGAACAAGGCUUCGGCCGUGCAAACAACCCGCCGCGUACCACUAACCCGCGAUCGCUCGUCCGACCGUUUGGCGUUGCCUUUGGCAACUCAAACCUUUGCGACCCCAGGUCAGGCGGGG